UUUUAAACUUUAAAAUACCUUGAAUCAUGUGGUCUUGAUUGGUAGGGUUUGUUGAAGCAUGAUAAGAUUGUUGCAGCACAAUAUCCUGGAUAGUACUUGUUGGAGUAGCCUGGCUAGAGAGGUUUGUUGGGGCAUGAGUUUGUUGAGAUAGAAUAUCCUUGUUGGCGAUGUUUGUUGUGGCCUGAGUUUGUUGAGGAAGAAUAUCCAUGCUGGCGAGAUUUGUUUGGGCCUAAGUUUGUUGAGUUAUUGUGGACGGAUCCAAUGAUAUUGGAAGAGAUGAAGUUCCUGACUUAU
rnacentral:lncRNA from 1 species